UUCCGUAGGUGAACCUGCGGAAGGAUCAUUAU
rnacentral:rRNA from 9 species